rnacentral:ncRNA from 1 species
GUAAAGUUUUAUUCUUGCUUUGUCAUUCAAUUUUUGUUUGUUCUAUAUGUAAGUUUUUGCAUGAUUAUUUUUCAGUUCUAAAUGGGCUGGUGUUUUAAUAUUUUAUUCUCAUUAGUUGUUAUUGGUUGGUCAAGUAUUCUUGUAUCCAGCAAUACAUUUUGGUUUCGGUUAAAUUUUGUGCCAGCAGCCGCGGUUAUACUUUGGAAGCGUUUGAAUGUGUUCGGUAUUGUAGUUAUUUUUAGUUUGGUUGAUUGUGUUUUGAUAAUUGUUAGGUGAAAUUUUUAUUAUUGUUAUUUUCUUUUAUCUUUUUGGAGGCUAUGAAAUUCUUUUUAUAAACUAGGAUUAGAUACCCUAUUAUUUUAGAAUGUUAAUUUGUUUUUGCCUGAGUAGUAUUAGUUAUGUCCUUGAAACUUAAAGAAUUUGGCGGUAUCUCAUUCCGUCCAGAGGAAUCUGUCUCGUUAUCGAUAGUCCGCGUUGGACCUUACUUGGUUGUUUGGUUUGUAUACCGCCGUAUAUUUGAUUAUCUUUUUAGAGUUUUAAAUUUUCUGGUUUCCUUAUUUUGGUUUAUUUCAGGUCAAGGUGCAGCUUGUUUCCAAGUGAAUGAUGGAUUACAUUGGUUGAUUUGUUUUUGGAUUGCUUGUUUGAAUUUGGGCAUGAAAUUGGAUUUGGUUGUAAUGAUUUGUAGAUUGUUAUUAUGAUAAUUGGUUCUGGGAUAUGCACACAUCGCCCGUCGCUCUCGUUGCUGUUAAAUGAGAUAAGUCGUAACAAAGUGGUUGUACCGGAAGGUGCAGCUGGAUUGAA